UGAAACUACAGGCAUGUGAAAUGAAACAGAGGUGCCCUGGCUGUCAGUCCUCAGUUCCUGCUUUUGCCACUCUCGGGCUUCUGCCCACCGCCAGCACCCCCACACCUGCUCUUUGGUGACAGCACAGCGGCCUGGCCAGACCCCGCAGGCCUGCACCUGCCCGGGAGCUGAGGGCUGCAGGGCGUGUGAGACCCCAGGAGGCGGCCAGCAGGUUAAACAGCUUUCCAAGUAUUUGUGGAGGGAUAUGGCGUGACUAACGGCCCACGUCUCUGGAGUGUUCCUCGCUGGGAGGGAUUCCAAGGCCCCUGCCAGCCCAGCACCCCUGCCCACACCUUAUCCCGACUCUGUUCCUCAAAGCAUGCUGGCCGGGUGGGCACAGGACUCCCGCAGCGCUCCAUGGAGGGAGAGCAGUUUCCUCCCACUGGACAGAGUUGGCAGGAAGGAGUCGUGGCCGGCACAUCUGCGGCCGGGAACCCGAGACACAGCCGCAGGCACUGGUGGCUCAGAGGACUGAGGGUCCCUUAAACACUUGUGGCAGAACGGAGCAGAGAGAGGGAGAAAUGAUUGCUCUGCGGCAGGCAACGGUGACCUCACUGCCCUGGCUGGGGGACACCUGCUCCUCAAGCAGGACUGCGGACUGGGAGCAAAGUUCAGCUUGCACAGGGGGCAGGCAUCUGAAUCAGGAAAGUCGCCUCACAAUUGGAACUAAUUGCCCGGAUUCUGGCAGUCUCAGGAAAGAGCCGAGAACAAUGUGUGGCCGCAGAGACAGGGCCUGGCCAACAGCGUCCACAGCUGGGAGGCAGGAACAUGCAGCAGGUGGUGGAUAAUGUACAAAAAUGAGAGUCAUCCGGACACCCGGGCUCCCCACUGGCCCUCUGCCCGUUCAGUUCUGGUUUUCUGUGUCCUCGGACAUUGAGGGAGAGCUGGUGGCUUUGUGGGUGGGAGGGAACAGCCUCUACUCCCUCCUUAAGCACCUGGUCACAGGGAGCCCAAGCAGGUGCAGCUCCUGAACUCGUGGCCUGCAGUGAGCCACUGGAGGAGCUCAUCAUGUCACUCCAUCCUCCGGGCGUGGCCGGGGAGCUCCCCCGGAAGCCCUGGCUGGUGUCCUGGCCUCUUGGAAAGCUGCCAGGGUGCCCCUGGGGAGAAGAGUGGCCUGGGCCCGGGGGGCACCUUUUUGCCCUCUCUACUCUCCACCUCCCAGCGUGGUCACAUCUCUGGGGGCAAAUGACGCAUCGUCCUCUCCAGGAAACGAUCCUUUUGUGGAUGGGGUGGGAGC